AGAAAGGAGCAAGUGGGAAGCAAUCCCACGACCUUCUUGCUGUGAGGCACCAGUGCUAUCCACCAAGCCAUCGUGCUGCCCAU